GACAGAGGAUGCAAGCGUUAUCCGGAAUUAUUGGGCGUAAAGCGUCUGUAGGUGGCUUUUCAAGUCCGCCGUCAAAUCCCAGGGCUCAACCCUGGACAGGCGGUGGAAACUACCAAGCUGGAGUACGGUAGGGGCAGAGGGAAUUUCCGGUGGAGCGGUGAAAUGCAUUGAGAUCGGGAAGAACACCAACGGCGAAAGCGCUCUGCUGGGCCGACACUGACACUGAGAGACGAAAGCUAGGGGAGCAAAUGGG
rnacentral:rRNA from 1 species